rnacentral:rRNA from 1 species
AGAGUUUGAUCCUGGCUCAGAACGAACGCUGGCGGCGUGCUUAACACAUGCAAGUCGAACGAGAAAGUCCUAGCUUGCUAGGGCGAGUAAAGUGGCGCACGGGUGAGUAACGCGUGGGUAACCUGCCCUUGAAUCGGGGAUAACUUCGCGAAAGCGUAGCUAAUACCGGAUAUGGUUCCAUAAGCCUCGGCUCUUGGAAUUAAAGGUGACCUCUUCAUGAAAGUUGCCGUUCAGGGACGGGCUCGCGUACCAUUAGCUAGUUGGUGGGGUAAAGGCCUACCAAGGCUACGAUGGUUAGCUGGUCUGAGAGGAUGACCAGUCACACUGGAACUGAGACACGGUCCAGACUCCUACGGGAGGCAGCAGUGAGGAAUCUUGCGCAAUGGGGGAAACCCUGACGCAGCAACGCCGCGUGAGUGAUGAAGGCUCUUGGGUCGUAAAGCUCUGUCAAUAGGGAAGAAAGCCUUUCGGUUAAUAGCCGGGAGGUCUGAUGGUACCUUCAAAGGAAGCACUGGCUAACUCCGUGCCAGCAGCCGCGGUAAUACGGAGAGUGCAAGCGUUGUUCGGAAUUACUGGGCUUAAAGAGCGUGUAGGCGGGAUAUUAAGUCAGAUGUGAAAGCCCCGGGCUUAACCUGGGAAUUGCAUUUGAUACUGGAUAACUAGAGUCUGGUAGAGGGUAGUGGAAUUCCACGUGUAGCGGUGAAAUGCGUAGAUAUGUGGAGGAACAUCAGUGGCGAAGGCGGGUCACUGGGCUUGUACUGACGCUGAGGUGCGAAAGCGUGGGGAGCAAACAGGAUUAGAUUCCCUGGUAGUCCACGCCGUAAACGAUGUCAACUAGCCGUCGGGUUCUUUUAUGAACUUGGUGGCGCAGCUAACGCGAUAAGUUGACCGCCUGGGGAGUACGGUCGCAAGAUUGAAACUCAAAGGAAUUGACGGGGGCCCGCACAAGCGGAGGAACAUGUGGUUUAAUUCGAUGAUACGCGAGGAACCUUACCUGGGCUUAAAUGCAGAACGAUGUACCGGGAAACUGGUAUUCCCUUCGGGGCGAACUGCAAGGUGCUGCAUGGCUGUCGUCAGCUCGUGCCGUGAGGUGUCGGGUUAAGUCCCAUAACGAGCGCAACCCCUAUCGUUAGUUGCCAGCGGAUAAUGCCGGGGACUCUAACGAAACUGCCAGUGUAAACUGUGAGGAAGGUGGGGAUGACGUCAAGUCAGCACGGCCCUUAUGUCCAGGGCUACACACGUGUUACAAUGGCCGGUACAGAGGGCAGCUACCUGGUGACAGGAUGCAAAUCUCGAAAUCCGGUCUCAGUUCGGAUCGAAGUCUGCAACUCGACUUCGUGAAGGUGGAUUCGCUAGUAAUCGCGCAUCAGCCACGGCGCGGUGAAUACGUUCCCGGGCCUUGUACACACCGCCCGUCAAACCAUGGGAGUGGGUUGUACCAGAAGUAGGUAGCCUAACCUUCGGGGGGGCGCUUACCACGGUAUGAUUCAUGACUGGGGUGAAGUCGUAACAAGGAACC